rnacentral:piRNA from 1 species
UCCCAAACUCUAUCUUGCCAGUAUGGGAGG